rnacentral:rRNA from 1 species
AAAAAAGGUAAGCUACUAAGAGCGAAUGGUGGAUGCCUUGACUGGUAAAGGCGAUGAAGGACGUACUAGACUGCGAUAAGCUACGGGGAGCUGUCAAGAAGCUUUGAUCCGUAGAUUUCCGAAUGGGGCAACCCAAUGUAUAGAGAUAUACAUUACCUAUAUAGGAGCGAACGAGGGGAAUUGAAACAUCUUAGUACCCUCAGGAAAAGAAAUCAAUAGAGAUUGCGUCAGUAGCGGCGAGCGAAAGCGCAAGAGGGCAAACCCAGUGCUUGCACUGGGGGUUGUAGGACUGCAAUGUGCAAGAGGUAAGUUUAGCAGAACAUUCUGGAAAGUAUAACCAUAGAGGGUGAUAGUCCCGUAUGCGAAAAACAAACCUUAGCUAGCAGUAUCCUGAGUAGGGCGGGACACGAGGAAUCCUGUCUGAAUCCGGGUCGACCACGAUCCAACCCUAAAUACUAAUACCAGAUCGAUAGUGCACAAGUACCGUGAGGGAAAGGUGAAAAGAACUGAGGUGAUCAGAGUGAAAUAGAACCUGAAACCAUUUGCUUACAAUCAUUCAGAGCCCUAUGUAGCAAUACAGGGUGAUGGACUGCCUUUUGCAUAAUGAGCCUGCGAGUUGUGGUGUCUGGCAAGGUUAAGCAAACGCGAAGCCGUAGCGAAAGCGAGUCUGAAUAGGGCGCUUAGUCAGAUGCUGCAGACCCGAAACGAAGUGAUCUAUCCAUGAGCAAGUUGAAGCUAGUGUAAGAACUAGUGGAGGACUGAACCCAUAGGCGUUGAAAAGCCCCGGGAUGACUUGUGGAUAGGGGUGAAAGGCCAAUCAAACUUCGUGAUAGCUGGUUCUCUCCGAAAUAUAUUUAGGUAUAGCGUUGUGUCGUAAUAUAAGGGGGUAGAGCACUGAAUGGGCUAGGGCAUACACCAAUGUACCAAACCCUAUCAAACUCCGAAUACCUUAUAUGUAAUCACAGCAGUCAGGCGGCGAGUGAUAAAAUCCGUCGUCAAGAGGGAAACAACCCAGACUACCAGCUAAGGUCCCUAAAUCUUACUUAAGUGGAAAACGAUGUGAAGUUACUUAAACAACCAGGAGGUUGGCUUAGAAGCAGCCAUCCUUUAAAGAAAGCGUAAUAGCUCACUGGUCUAGUGAUUUUGCGCGGAAAAUAUAACGGGGCUAAAGUAAGUACCGAAGCUGUAGACUUGCACACAACUUAGAUUAUUUAAGUUUAGAAUAUGAGAAACUAAGUUAUAUGUUUAGUUAUAUUUUUACUGAUUUUUAUAGAGUAAAGAUAGAAAUAAAACUUAGUAAAAUCAGUAAAAAUAUUCUUAGACUAAAGUUAAGUAGUUUAAGUUGUGUGCAAGUGGUAGGAGAGCGUUCUAUUUGCGUCGAAGGUAUACCGGUAAGGAGUGCUGGAGCGAAUAGAAGUGAGCAUGCAGGCAUGAGUAGCGAUAAUUAAUGUGAGAAUCAUUAACGCCGUAAACCCAAGGUUUCCUACGCGAUGCUCGUCAUCGUAGGGUUAGUCGGGUCCUAAGUCGAGUCCGAAAGGGGUAGACGAUGGCAAAUUGGUUAAUAUUCCAAUACCAACAUUAGUGUGCGAUGGAAGGACGCUUAGGGCUAAGGGGGCUAGCGGAUGGAAGUGCUAGUCUAAGGUCGUAGGAGGUUAUACAGGCAAAUCCGUAUAACAAUACUCCGAGAACUGAAAGGCUUUUUGAAGUCUUCGGAUGGAUAGAAGAACCCCUGAUGCCGUCGAGCCAAGAAAAGUUUCUAAGUUUAGCUAAUGUUGCCCGUACCGUAAACCGACACAGGUGGGUGGGAUGAGUAUUCUAAGGCGCGUGGAAGAACUCUCUUUAAGGAACUCUGCAAAAUAGCACCGUAUCUUCGGUAUAAGGUGUGGUUCGCUUCGUAUUAGGAUUUACUCCGAAAGCGAAGAAACUUACAACAAAGAGUCCCUCCCGACUGUUUACCAAAAACACAGCACUCUGCUAACUCGUAAGAGGAUGUAUAGGGUGUGACGCCUGCCCGGUGCUCGAAGGUUAAUUGAUGGGGUUAGCAUUAGCGAAGCUCUUGAUCGAAGCCCGAGUAAACGGCGGCCGUAACUAUAACGGUCCUAAGGUAGCGAAAUUCCUUGUCGGUUAAAUACCGACCUGCAUGAAUGGCGUAACGAGAUGGGAGCUGUCUCAAAGAGGGAUCCAGUGAAAUUGUAGUGGAGGUGAAAAUUCCUCCUACCCGCGGCAAGACGGAGAGACCCCGUGGACCUUUACUACAGCUUGACACUGCUAUUUGGAUAAGAAUGUGCAGGAUAGGUGGGAGGCUUUGAGUAUAUGACGCCAGUUGUAUAUGAGCCAUUGUUGAGAUACCACUCUUUCUUAUUUGGGUAGCUAACCAGCUUGAGUUAUCCUCAAGUGGGACAAUGUCUGGUGGGUAGUUUGACUGGGGCGGUCGCCUCCCAAAUAAUAACGGAGGCUUACAAAGGUUGGCUCAGAACGGUUGGAAAUCGUUCGUAGAGUAUAAAGGUAUAAGCCAGCUUAACUGCAAGACAUACAAGUCAAGCAGAGACGAAAGUCGGUCUUAGUGAUCCGGUGGUUCUGUGUGGAAGGGCCAUCGCUCAAAGGAUAAAAGGUACCCCGGGGAUAACAGGCUGAUCUCCCCCAAGAGCUCACAUCGACGGGGAGGUUUGGCACCUCGAUGUCGGCUCAUCGCAUCCUGGGGCUGGAGCAGGUCCCAAGGGUAUGGCUGUUCGCCAUUUAAAGCGGUACGCGAGCUGGGUUCAGAACGUCGUGAGACAGUUCGGUCCCUAUCUGCCGUGGGCGUAAGAAGAUUGAAGAGAUUUGACCCUAGUACGAGAGGACCGGGUUGAACAAACCACUGGUGUAGCUGUUGUUCUGCCAAGAGCAUCGCAGCGUAGCUAAGUUUGGAAAGGAUAAACGCUGAAAGCAUCUAAGCGUGAAGCCAACUCUAAGAUGAAUCUUCUCUAAGCUCUCUAGAAGACUACUAGUUUGAUAGGCUGGGUGUGUAAUGGAUGAAAGUCCUUUAGCUGACCAGUACUAAUAGAGCGUUUGGCUUAUCUUUAAUAAAGCAU